rnacentral:rRNA from 1 species
UCUCAUUCGGAUUGGAGUCUGCAACCCGACUCCAUGAAGCUGGAUUCGCUAGUAAUCGCGCAUCAGCCACGGCGCGGUGAAUACGUUCCCGGGCCUUGUACACACCGCCCGUCAAGCCAUGGAAGCCGGGGGUGCCUGAAGUGCGCUGCCGCAAGGAGCGCCCUAGGGUAAAACCGGUGACUGGGGCUAAGUCGUAACAAGGUAUC